CUCAGGUGCUCUGGAAGGGUAAGCAGAUCCUGCACCACAUGUGGCACCCGUCGUGUUGCUUAUGUGAUAACAAAUCCGGUAAAUAGUAUAAUUCGGUAGGUCACAUUCAUGAAAGGGAAGGGGAUUGUAGUUACGACGUAAGGAACAUAUCCGAUAUCAUUUGUGAAACGGUUAUUCCAUAAAAGUCAAUCAACUCGUGAUGGCGUCCG
rnacentral:lncRNA from 1 species